UAUAUAUGUAAAUAUAUAUGUACAUAUAUAUAUAUACUUAUUUUAUUGACAUGUCGUUUCCCUUCUCUCUUUUUCUGUCUGUCUGUAACUCUCUCAACAUAUUCAUAUGUAUAUAUGUAUAUAUGUUUAUAUAUAUAUACUCAUACAUCCGUAUACUUAUGUAUGCCUAUCAAUGCGUGUGUGCGUGUAUGAAUGUACGCGCGCUUUAUUUGUGUUUAUGGGUAUUAUGAGUACCAUCUCCUCCCGGCCCGAGAGGGUCGGGAAAGCUCUAAACCACCUCCCAUGAUAGGGAUCGGGGCCUGGAACCAACCCCGUGAACGAGGAAUUCCCAGUAGCCGCGGGACGUCAGCCUGCGUCGAUGACGUGCCUGCCCUUUGUACACACCGUCCGUCGCUACUACCGAUGAAACGGUCCGGUGAGAUCCUCGGAUCUGGUAGAGGAUGGCCCGGAGAAGACAACCAAACCCGAUCGCUUAGAGCAAUUAGAAGUCGUAACAACUACUUUAAUAUCAGCC
rnacentral:ncRNA from 1 species